UCACAGUCCUUCCAGGUCAAAAUUGGGACCAGUGUUCUCUGAGUUAAGUUCUAUCCCUGGAGAUGACAAAUGGGCUCAGGAGUGCCCUGGCUGGCCUGAGCAGAGCUGGAAGAAGUAGGUGGCCCUCCUUUGCCAGCACAGCUCAGCUGUGACUAAGUGGGUUUUUGUUCUUUGCCUUGUAGCCUGGGUCAAGUUGAACUGGUGAGAACCGGUGUGUGUGCAUCAAAGAAUCAAAGGAGUCAGAGGAAGAAGUCCCUGCUUCCUCCCUUCCCAAGUGAGGGAGAGGCUGCAAUAACCAGGACCAACCCACUGGAAGAUGCUAUGGAAAUGCACAAAAUUGAGGCUGACAACGGAGCAUUUUGCUUAAGGGCAUAUUGUCAACAAAGGAUACUGUGUAUUGGAAACAGUCUAGAUGGGUCAUUUUUGCACCUAUAAAUUACUAAUAAUUACCUUGGCAGGCUCAGAAGUUGAGGUUGUUGGCAUUUCAUUUUAAGUCUCAGCUCAGAUGGCAUUUCAGGAGGCACCUACCUAAGGUGACUGCCCCAGUUACUCUCCAUCUCAUUCCCCUUUUUAUUUCUUUCUUACCACUUCUCAUAAUCUUCAAUCGUCUUGCUUACUUAUGUGCUUAUGUAUUUAUUGUCCAUCUCAUCCAUUAGAAUGUAGGCUCUCUGAAAGCAAAAACCCUUCCUUUUUUAUAUACUUUUUCCUCAGAGCCUAGGACAGUGUGUGGCACAUAGUAAGACCUUCAAUAAAUAUUUGUUAAUUGAAUGAAUGAACAAAUGAAUUAGUGAAUUCAGAGACUUAAUAAAUGUCCCAUGAUCCAGAAAGAAUCAAUCGUAGAAGUGAAAAGAGAACCCAGAGGUAAAUGUCUUAUAUCCAUGUGCCUGAACAUAUUCAUCUUAGAUUGUUUCCCAAUGUGUUAUUUCUGGUAUGUUCCCAUAUCUGACCACUGGAAUAUCACCCCCUCAUAUACACAUUCAUUUUCCAAAACUGAAACUAAAAGUCAAAUGAAGUGUCUUGAGUGAAACAAUAUGCUUAGUUAUAGUUAUGACUUGAACUUGGAUCCUGAUUUCUAUUCGAGAAGUAAUUUACUCAUAGGAUGACUUGGGUCUUAGUUUUUGUUUUUUUUAUUUUCAUUUUGUUCCUUUACCUCUCAAACGAAACAAAACAUAUCCC
rnacentral:lncRNA from 1 species